AGCAGCCGCGGUAAUUCCAGCUCCAAUAGCGUAUAUUAAAGUUGUUGCAGUUAAAAAGCCCGUAGUUGAACUUCAGGCCUGGUUGGGCGGUCCGCCUCACGGUGUGUACUGUCUGACCGGGUCUUACCUCUUGGUGAGCCGGCAUGCCCUUUACUGGGUGUGUCGGGGAACCAGGACAUUUACCUUGAGAAAAUUAGAGUGUUCAAAGCAGGCAUUUGCUCGAAUACAUUAGCAUGGAAUAAUAGAAUAGGACGUGCGGUUCUAUUUUGUUGGUUUCUAGAGUCGCCGUAAUGAUUAAUAGGGAUAGUUGGGGGCAUUUGUAUUGCGUUGCUAGAGGUGAAAUUCUUGGAUUUACGCAAGACAAACUACUGCGAAAGCAUUUGCCAAGGAUGUUUUCAUUAAUCAAGGACGAAGGUUAGGGGAUCGAAAACGAUCAGAUACCGUUGUAGUCUUAACAGUAAACUAUGCCGACUAGGGAUCGGACAACCUCAAUUAAUGUGUUGUUCG
rnacentral:rRNA from 1 species